rnacentral:snoRNA from 1 species
GGUCUGUGAUGAAUAGUAAAAGGUCUGAUUAUCCUGAGACUUGUACUUCCAUGACCUUUUCUCCCAGCAGUUUCUCACCAGUCACAGCGCAGUAAUGGUGUGGCUGGCAGAGUGUUUGCUGACAGCUUGUGAUGCAUUCAAUUCAUGUUAACCUGAAGUGCUGGAGACAUGACUGGGACCAGCAUCCAACAGUCCUACUUGAAGGAGUUUGUGGUCUUGGAUUGUUACAGCUGGACAUAUGAUCUGACUUUUCUACUGAGACC